rnacentral:rRNA from 1 species
GAACGGGUGAGUAACACGUGAGUAACCUGCCCCUUCACUCUGGGAUAAGCGCUGGAAACGGCGUCUAAUACCGGAUAUGAGCAGAGAAGGCAUCUUCUCUGUUGGAAAGUUUUUCGGUGAAGGAUGGACUCGCGGCCUAUCAGCUAGUUGGUGAGGUAAUGGCUCACCAAGGCGACGACGGGUAGCCGGCCUGAGAGGGUGACCGGCCACACUGGGACUGAGACACGGCCCAGACUCCUACGGGAGGCAGCAGUGGGGAAUAUUGCACAAUGGGCGCAAGCCUGAUGCAGCAACGCCGCGUGGGGGAUGACGGCCUUCGGGUUGUAAACCUCUUUUAGUAAGAAAUAAGCGAAAGUGAAGGUACUUACAGAAAAAGCACCGGCUAACUACGUGCCAGCAGCCGCGGUAAUACGUAGGGUGCAAGCGUUGUCCGGAAUUAUUGGGCGUAAAGAGCUCGUAGGCGGUUUAUCGCGUCUGUUGUGAAAAUCCAAGGCUCAACCUUGGACUUGCUGCGGGUACGGGUAGGCUUGAGUGCGGUAGGGGAGAUUGGAAUUCCUGGUGUAGCGGUGGAAUGCGCAGAUAUCAGGAGGAACACCGAUGGCGAAGGCAGAUCUCUGGGCCGUAACUGACGCUGAGGAGCGAAAGCAUGGGGAGCGAACAGGAUUAGAUACCCUGGUAGUCCAUGCCGUAAACGGUGGGAACUAGAUGUAGGGCCUGUUCCACGGGUUCUGUGUCGGCGCUAACGCAUUAAGUUCCCCGCCUGGGGAGUACGGCCGCAAGGCUAAAACUCAAAGGAAUUGACGGGGGCCCGCACAAGCGGCGGAGCAUGCGGAUUAAUUCGAUGCAACGCGAAGAACCUUACCAAGGCUUGACAUAUAGAUGAACGGCUUAGAGAUAAGUCACUCUUUGAUACAUUUAUACAGGUGGUGCAUGGUUGUCGUCAGCUCGUGUCGUGAGAUGUUCGGUUAAGUCCGGCAACGAGCGCAACCCUCGUCCUAUGUUGCCAGCACGUUAUGGUGGGGACUCAUGGGAUACUGCCGUGGUCAACACGGAGGAAGGUGGGGAUGACGUCAAAUCAUCAUGCCCCUUAUGUCUUGGGCUUCACGCAUGCUACAAUGGCCGAUACAAUGGGCUGCGAUACCGCGAGGUGGAGCGAAUCCCAAAAAGUCGGUCUCAGUUCGGAUUGGGGUCUGCAACUCGACCCCAUGAAGUCGGAGUCGCUAGUAAUCGCGGAUCAGAAUGUCGCGGUGAAUACGUUCCCGGGCCUUGUACACACCGCCCGUCACACCAUGGGAGUCUAUUGCACCAGAAGUGGUUAGCCUAACUUUUAGAGGGCGAUCACCACGGUGUGGUCGAUGACUGGGGUGAAGUCGUAACAAGGUAGCC